rnacentral:rRNA from 1 species
UACGAAGGGUGCAAACGUUGCUCGGAAUCAUUGGGCGUAAAGCGCACGUAGGCGGCCUGAUAAGUCGGGUGUGAAAGCCCUGGGCUCAACCCAGGAAGUGCACUCGAAACUGUCAGGCUUGAAUAUGGAAGAGGGUCGCGGAAUUCCCGGUGUAGAGGUGAAAUUCGUAGAUAUCGGGAGGAACACCAGUGGCGAAGGCGGCGACCUGGGCCAAUAUUGACGCUGAGGUGCGAAAGCGUGGGGAGCAAACAGG